rnacentral:lncRNA from 1 species
CUGACAUAAUGUAAGAAUAUUAAUAAAGCAGGAUAGUAAACAAAAAGCAGUAAGAUAUCCGUCUACUCGGUACCAUACGGUCACGUAGCAGGACACGGAAAACAAAGAAACCGAAUGAAUUCCAGAAGGAAGACGAGGUGGUCAGAGGCUGGAAAUGGCGCUGGUCACUCCAGUCCCCACACUCGCUGAGCCCGAGGUGGCGAUUUCAUCAGUGCCGACCGUAUUAAGCCUGCUGUGUCAACAUCCCUGAUGUUGACCGAUAAAACUGGCAGGCUGAGCUUCGGGAUGUAUAUCCCCCCUCCCCCAACCACCAUCCAGACAUUCAAGGCCGUGGGCGAGCAUCUUUCCCCGACCGACACGUGGUCCAUCCCGAGCACCUCAUGGGCGUGAUUAGAUCGGCUAGUCUUGUGAUAAGGUCUGCUGUCUUCCUUCUCACGUACGUGCAUGGCGGAUGGGCGGACGGGCCGGUCAAAUCCCAGGUCACGUGAGUGGUGUUGGACGUUUCCUCUACUGUUAUCAGCACUACACACAGAAAUGCGACAGUUCCGGCCCAGCAAUUGCUAACGAGAACUAACACACCACCAGCCACCAAGUGUUUAACGGUCUCGCGAUGGCAUCCAUCGUCUUGAUUAAACGCUUUUCCGGAUAUGCAUGCAGCCUCUGUGUGAUGUUACCAAAUAUUCUAACACAAAAGAGUCAGUACAGGAGGAUGCUAACUCAAGGUAACAAGUCAGAUGAAGAAUGGCUUGAGACCUCAGCGAGGGGACACAUGGACAAACAGGUGGAGAAGUCUCACAACGAAAUCCGCAGACAUCUCCUUCACCCUCCACACCACUGGAAGCUGCUGUGCGGAUAGGAGACUGAGAGUCAUGACUCGUAGUAUGAUUCCUGAACUUUAACCCGUACAGUUUAGGCGCGCUGGGAUUAUACAGCAAAUCGAGAAGGGGUCAGAAGCCAGAAUAAAAAAAGAGAACAUGUCUUUUUGUGUAAAUGCAUAAGUAAACAAACAAACGUUGAAUAUUAAGACUGUUCUUCGUCUAAACCCUGGAAAGACAAAUGUGAAACGCAAACAUGGUGGCAAAUUUUGCUCUAAAACUUGACUAGGUGCUGUCACUGUCCCACUAUUACUAACAGCAGACCAUACCGCCAUUAAUGUCUAGUGAACGUCACUCGUCAAUGCAUCAUCGUUACAAACAAAUGACAAAGGAACCUACUUUGAAGUUGUUACUAAUAUUAGCAAAUCAUAGUAAUAAAUAAUUAGUAAACGUGGUUCUUGAAACCAGUGUGCGUGCGUGCAUAUGCUUCCCCGCGUGAAGGUGUCGCUGGAGAGAUGAUGAAAAUCAUUAGGGUACGUUCCAAGCAUGCCCCAUCUUCCCUUUUUUCCCCCACCGGCCAACUCCCCAGGGACAGAACAAAAAAGAGGCUGUUCAUUCAACGUAAGCUCUCAGCACGGAAGCCAAGGCAAACAGUGGCGCGGGCGACAAGACCAAAAGGAUGGUUUCAAUGCGUCAAUACGAGCUCUCCCUACCUCCUGUCCCUCUCAACACGCAGCACUUGUGUCGUGUGGGUGAUGACAGAGCACCCGACUAAACUAUCCCGUUAUCACCGCCAUACAGAUAUUGCCUCUACCUCGUGCCUGCU